rnacentral:lncRNA from 1 species
GCCACGGCAAGAAUGCGGCGAAAGCCUUGCGCCACGUGUCGCGAAACGAAGGCUCUGCGCUGGUGCUGCCUGCAAGCAAAGUGCUUUGCUUCUCGACGCCGUCCGACUGUGAACGCGAUGGCGGUGUCUCCACUGCUCCUUGCGCGUCGAAUGUCGUCUCUACAAUUCCCGGCUGGGCGUCGGCGCCCGUUUCCCGCUGCGACGUCCCUCGUGAGCCCCACGGGAUUUCCUGUUCCGUCUCAGAGGCAAACAGAAGAGAAGUGUCCGGCAGUGGAGACGCAGGCUCCACAGAGGAUUUCCCGUCUACUUCUGCCUCUCCCGACGCUUCGCCCGUGCGUCGCACGUAACCCUCUUCCACGCUCGUCGCCUUCCGUCCAUUGUCCUCCAGCGCCUUGAGCGCCUCUCCACAUGGACCCCUGUCGCCUUCAGUCUCGCAAGGCAGUUCAAGAGACAGUCCCCUCUCACGCAGCCCCGUGGACGCUGGCGCUUCUGGGACCUCCGCGGGGAGGCGAUUCUGGUCUGUCUCCGAGUCUCUGAUCUCUCCGGUAGAUCCAGUCGGGGGAGCGUGAGAUGCGCAAGAGGAAAGAGGGAGGAACGAAAGCGACGCGAGACACAGACAGAGGAGAAAGACACCAAACACAGAGAGAGUGUGUGAGCAGUGCCGAGAGGAAACCCGUUGGCUUGGCGCAGGGACGUCCCUUCUCGAGCGGCGACGCAAACAGGUGAUUCCCUCCUCUCUGCCGCCUUGAGUCUUCCCAACUGGCUUCUGGAGUAGGAGGGACGACCGCGAAAACAUCACCCUGUUUGGUCUAGUCAAUUGCUUGGGCUGAUCCAUUCUUCUCGCGCCAUCCCUCCUGCAAACCACAUAUUGGCUGCGCUAGCUUUCGGGAUCAGAUCGUGAAGCAAGGAGAAAAGUUUGUCGGCGCUUCUACAAGCUGGAGGCGCCGCGAACGGAACCCGGAGAAAGGGCUCGGCGAGACCGGCCGGACCGAGCACCUUCGCGUGGCGUCGUUUUGGCGACACGCCCGUUGUUUCCCGGUUUGAAGGCGGAAGUCGUACAGAACAGAUGGAGAAUGCUGUCACUACAAAAGUCUCUUUUUGCCCCUCUCUCUGCUUUCGGGCAACUGUCGGGCCUCGGAGAGCGUUCCGGAGGCGGACGGGGUGUCGGAGACGGAGGGGGGGACAAUCGUUUUCCCCCGCUCGCGUUGUUCGUUUUUCCCAAGAGCCCCGCUCCGUCAGCACAGGAGAAAGUGUUUGAAAAAACUCAGGGGGGGGGUUCUUUUCUUCACUUGAAAGGGAUACUCCUUGCCCUGAUCUCGGAUGGAGCGGAAACCUGGAAAGGCGCUUCCGAUUCACACUGCGCAUUAGGGGCUCUGAAGCACGACUUCUCAAAUGGGCUGCACGGCAGGCUACUCAGCAAAAAUGCAUUUGCUGUCGAAGGAAGACACCCGAUGCAACUCAACAAAUGGUUUGGAGAGACGGCCCGCGCCCAAAAUACCGCAUCGCAACUCUUUGGGUCCCCGCCCUUUGCGCUCUUGAAAACGGCGAAAAAUCUCAGACCCGCGUGGUACGGGCCCAUAGAGGGGGGGGGGCGGGGAAGCAUCAACGCUUUGCCGGCCAGUUGCUGUCCUCUUCCACGUUUUUUCUCUGGCUUCUGUUUCUUCUUUUCCUUCCCUCGACUUCACCGCAUAGCUAGGCGCCGAGGGCCUUCGGCGAGACCCGCGGAUCUCCGGAUCAGGAACAUGCUUG